rnacentral:rRNA from 1 species
UGGGGAAUAUUGCACAAUGGAGGGAACUCUGAUGCAGCGACGCCGCGUGAGUGAUGAAGGAAUUCGUUUCGUAAAACUCUGUUCUAUGGGAAGAAAAGGACUGCACCAUAGGAGAAAGCUCCGGCUAAAUACGUGCCAGCAGCCGCGGUAAUACGUAUGGAGCGAGCGUUGUCCGGAAUUAUUGGGCGUAAAGGGUGCGCAGGCGGCUUUACAAGUUGGAUGUGAAAUAUUGUGGCUCAACCACAAACGUGCAUCCAAAACUGCAAAGCUUGAGUUAAGGAGAGGUAAGUGGAAUUCCUGGUGUAGCGGUGGAAUGCGUAGAUAUCAGGAGGAAUACCGGUGGCGAAGGCGACUUACUGGACUUAAACUGACGCUCAGGCACGAAAGCGUGGGGAGCAAACAGG